AAUUGUACGAGCAACAUCGCAUGAUUACUUGUUUAUUAUUAGCAUAUGACAAAAUUGGAUACUUCUCCGCGUCAACAUCAUAUUCUCUCGCCAAAGCCCAGUCCUGCCAGACUUUCAACCAAAAUUUGGUACUUUUGUUAUUUUUUGGUAUUUUCACUUAGUUCCUUUGUUAAAGCAAAAUUUGGUGCUUUUGUUCGUAUUUUCAUCUAGUUCCUCAAGGGCAAUUUCAUUUCACAUUUGUAUUCAAAAUACCUUUCCGCCAUUUUGUUUGUUUUGGGAAAAUCAUUAAUUGUACUGCAGUACAAUUAAUGAAAUAAUUGCACUCCUCUCAACCAAUCAGCAUCCAGUAAUUUUGUCAUGC